AAGGAUUUAAGUUAUUAAAACUAUUAACCUUCAAAGUUAAAAACACUUUCUAAAAAGUAGGCCUUA
rnacentral:tRNA from 1 species